rnacentral:lncRNA from 1 species
CCAAAUGCAGGACAAGUUCAGAGAAAUCAUUCUCCAAGUUCGAGUUGUGCUGAAUAGUCAUGUGGUAUUUACCUAAAUUGGUUGAAAAUAUACGUCCAUGUGAAAAUCUGCCCAUGACUGUAGCAGCUUUAUCCAUGAUUGCCAAAAAUUGGAAGCAACCAAGAAGACUUUCUGUAGGGUGGAGAGUGAGUGAGCUCUCUGGUGUCUCUUCUCUUAAGGACACUAAUCCCCAUGGAUCAGAGCCCCAUUCUUAAGACCUCCUGUAUCUGCUGAUUACUUCCUUACUCCAAAUACAGGCACACUGGGUGUUGAGGCUUCAAUAAUGGAUUUGGGGUGGGAGAGGAUACAAACAUUCAGUCCUUUAAGCUCAGCGGCCAGCCACUGACACGUAUAGAGGAGCUUUGUGCAAGCACCAAUUAUCAAAAGGCUGUGCUUUCAUCCACACCAUUAAUUUCUGAAGGCAGAAGAGAGCAUGCUACCAGAAACCAAAAGUCGUGGCCUGUGGAAAACAGCAGGGAAGUGGGAAAAGCAAAACCCUUACAAAAUCGUUUUAUGAUUUAAACAGACUGAUUUUCCUUUUGGAUAUUGCUGAUGUCUCUGCCAACUGACAUUCACUCCUAAGAUUUUACAAACACUAUUUAAUCGUCUCCAAAGACAUAAAUAAGAUGAUGAUGAAAGUGUCUUACAAGAUUAACAUCUCCAGUAUCACAGCUUUAAAGAAGUAGGACUGGAAUCUGAAACCAUAACUGCCUGAUCCAAAACUUAUAAAUAUUCAUAUAGAGCUGACUACUGGUGAGGCUAAAGCAUCUGAGGAGACAAAGGGAGGGCUUAUAGAAGGAGACCUUCGGAAUUCCUGCCAUGGCACAGUGGGUUAAGAAUCCAACCACAGUGGCUUGGUUACUUUUAAUCCUAGCCCAGCACAGUGGGUUAAGGUAUCUGGCAUUGCUGCAGCUGUAGCAGUAGGCUACAGCUGUGGCUAGAAUACAAUCCCUGGCCCGGGUACUUCCAUAUGCCUCAGAGCCCAGAGCCCCUGUGUUUGGAGUUGGCUGGACUGUGGAGACUUUGGAAAGGUCCUGCUGCCAGGAGUUAAGCACGAAAUCUUGGAACUGAAUUUUACAGAAUUACUUCUGAACCAGUAUGGAACAUUUUAUGAACCUACACAAAGCUUCUGAUUCCUGGAACGGCCUCGCUGUGGUGAUUUUCCUGCAUGGAUCUGGAGAUACAGAGCUUGGAUGGGCAAGAAGCCUUUGCAGGUAUCAGAAAUUCAUGUAUCAAAUAUAUCUACCUGCUUGCAUCAAUUAUGCCUGUUGCAUUAAAUGUGAGUGUGGUUAUGUCUCUCAGUUUGAUUUUAUUGGGCUUUCACCAUAUUCAAUGGAAUUAAACAGGCAGCAGAAAUUGUAAAAGCUUUGAUAGAGCAGAGGUGAAGAACAGUGUUCCUUUCAACAUUAUUAUUUUGGGAGGAUUUUUCCAGGAGGGAGCUUUAUCUUCAUACGCUGAUGUUACCGCACAGCAGAAACUGAAAGGCAUUGCUGCAUUCAGUGCUGGCUUGGAUUCCAUGGGGUCCUAUCGGUGGCACUAAAAGAGAUACUUCUAUUCUCUGGGGCCAUGGAGACUACUCCCCUUAAGUUGCCCUAAGGGUUGGUUCUCUUACUGUAGAAAAGCUAAAAACAUUGGUAAAUCCAGCCAGCGUGACCUUAAAAACCCAUGAAAGCAAGAUGCAUGGUUCAUGACACCAGGGCUGAUGGAUAUAGAGCACUUCCACAAAUAAUUCCUAAAUAAUGUCUCCUUGUGGGAAAUUUAUGAUGGUUUGUAUACAUGUAUACUCUGAUCCAGAGUAUACUAGUACCGAAGUAGGUGAAAAAAGCCAGCUUCUUUUUCCCACAUGUAAUUCAGCCAAACAAAAUAAUGCAAGCAGAUUUUUCAUGACAUCAUUUACAAAUUAUUAGCAUGCUUAAUGAAAACAUUGUUCAGAUAUAAAUGAACAGUUAAGAUAUAAACAACUUCUGCAUGUUCUGGCUUAGUCUAUGGCUUUAUUCCAAGAUUACCAAGUCACCAUGCAGUAUCUGUAUUUUUAUAUAUAUUCAUAUAUUUUUAAUAAUUGUCAUACAUAGUAAGAAUAAGGUGGGAUUACAUUAUUGCUAAUAGUAGAGAUAAUGCUUUUAAGGGUUAAUAAAGAGGAAUAUUGCUUUCUUCAAAAAAAAAUGUGAUGUACAGAGAGCUCUAGGCAUUCUGUAGGGUCCCCUAGAGGAUGAGACUUUGGCAUAAACUUUUGCUUAAAGAAUAAAAUAAAGAUACAUCUCUUUAAAACAUUCUAAUGAAAUGAUUCAUUUACCCAUUUCACCUAUUACUAUAAUACUUAAAAACCAAUAACUUAUAGCUUGGUUCAUCAAAGAUUCCUUCAAGCCAGGUAAAGCCAAGAUAUGUCACCCCAAAAUAUGUAUUUUUGAAGACCAGAGGAAUCUGCAAACAAACCUCAUUCCAUUAGUUUCUUCCCAUGUAUUUAUCUUCCUACAGUUUGCUGUCCUUGGAAGCCAAAAACUGCUCUCCUUUGUCCUGUCAUUUCUUUACAAACAUUUUGUCCUUUAUUGAAGAUACUAUAUAAGACCUCAGUUCUAAGCUGAGGCUUUGAGCCACUCUUUGUUUUGGGUUUCUCCUGCUUGAUGUGCACUGCAGGGGUUCAUAAACGCUUUUUCUCUUAAUAUGUCUUUUUUUUUUUGGCCACCCCGUGGCAGAUGGAAUUCCCCAGGGCGGGGGAUCAGAUCCAAGCUGCAGUUGCAACCUACGCUGCAGCUGUGGCAAUGCCAUAUGCUUUAACCCACUGUGCAGGGCCUGGGAUUGAAUCUGUGUCCUGGUGCUUAAAAGACACGGCCAAUCAUGUUGUGCCAUAGUGGGACUCUAAUAUGUCAUCAUCUUAGAGCCUCAGCUGACAACUGAAGAUGGGUAGAAAGUUUUGCCUCCCUCAUUCAAGUUGUAUAUCCUCCCUGCAGUAUGCAGGAAAAAGUUAACUCUCUCCGUGGCUGGCAAUUACCCUGGGACUGGCCACCCCCAAGGAUUCAGCUACCUAUUGUUGAUUCUGAACUUUUAGGGUCAGCCUCCCUGGUAGAAUGUCUCCCCUCUAAUAUGUUGAACACUGGAAUUUUUAAAUAGAACCCCAAGAUCUAGGCAUUUUAAAAACUCUCAACUAAAAAAAAAAAAAAAAAAAA